rnacentral:tRNA from 1 species
GAAAUAUUAUUAAUAAGAACUUCUAAUUCUUUUAAAAAUGUAAUACAUUUAUAUUUCU